GACAUCUGUCCUUAAUCUGUGGCUAUAAAACUUGGUCCAGGGAAGUUUUCCUCCUUAUCCUCAAGCUCCAGCCAGGUUGCAGCGUGUGUGUGGGUGGUAAAUCUUCUGUCCACACCAGUGUUCACCUCUCCCCUGCCCAAGUUUGCCCAGUCCCUAGGUGGUGACCAUCGUUGGCAAUUAGUCCACCUCGCCGUAACCAGAAUUCCCAGAAGAAGAUGAAAUUCAAGAAGUAGUUUCUGAAGAGGAGUCUGCUCCAGUGCCUGCUCAUCAAGUGGAUGGAGCUAUCUAACUAAAGGUUGGGUAGAAGGAUCUAGAACCUCCUCACUGCAACAAAGGCAAGCCCCGGUGCAUGCAACCCCUUCCUUGUGUUUUUAAAAGAUUUUUAUACACUUUAAGUCUAGUGAAAUGUGCAUUAAGUUUAUAGGAGUUGCUUGGAAACUAUUGGAUGCAUUGCCUACCUUGAUAUCCAUACCUUUAUAGAUACUUCUGAUGAAGUAUCAAAAUAUGAUUUACAAAAAUGCUUAGCCCUGCUUAGAUCUUGUGGAUAGAGGUUGUCUUUUGCAUUAAUGCCUAGCUCAGGGGUUAUCCUGAGAAAGGACGGCUUCUACCUGCAAGAAUAUAUUUUUAUUGGGAGCAUAGUGGGAUCUUACUGCAAAGUUCCCUAUAAUGCUCUUUUCAUCCUAAGGAACACAGACAAUCCUAAGGAUGGAAGUACUUAAAUCAGGACUUGGGCUAGGAACAGGUGAUGUUCCGUCCAGGUUAAUUAAGGAUUGGAUGCGUAUGUAGGCAUGUAUGAUCAAGGACUAUCUUAACUGGCCACAUGCCCUGGAUAUGGGACAGGGUAAGCUUGAACCCGGCUAUUCCAUACAUGAAAAGACAAUCACGCACUGGGAGUGGAGAGAUGGCGAGAGUGGCACGUACCCUCCUGGCAAAGGACCGCCUAAAAGGGGUGGUGUGCUCUCGGGUGGCGCGGACCUGUUCAUGCAGUGGAGGAUCCGUGGGAACGGUUGACAUAUGCAAAGGUUAAGUGCUACAUAUGUCAUGUGGUUAGAGAUCCUCAGCUGAGUAAAUCGAUUCGGAUCACCGUUAUAUCCCCGAAGAGUGGAGACUUGAUCGCUGCCCUGCAACCUAAGUCAGGAUGCAAACAUUAGGAAUAAAAAUGAUGUUGUAUUGAUGAGAUGGUGAAAUUAUACUAGAUGCAACCAGAGUCUAUUAAUAUUUAAUCUGGCGUUAAAAUAUUGAAAGUAAGGACUCACUUUAGUAAGCUAUUUCUGCAAAAGUAUCUAAGUUGAUUCUUGCUAAAGCCUUUUCCUUGAUUCCUAUUUAACCAGCAUAUCCUUGAGAGUCAUUUUCCCUUAGUCGGGUAAGGCUUGCGAAAGUACACUCCGUACUCAGGGUUUUCGAACCCAUGUUGUUGUAGGUGAUGAGAAGUACUCUAAGUGUUCCUGUGGCUGGAGGGCGUUUCCAGUUCUGGGGGAGGAUUAGUUAGGCUUGUGUAUAAGCUUUGGAGGGUUCCUACCUUCCUGCUAUUGUAAUAAGUUAUGCACUUUGAGUAUAUCAGGACUUGUAAUAAAUGUAACUCUUCCUAUGUAAUAAGCUUCAGUUUUAGAAAUAAAAAGAAUGUUUUGUAAA